rnacentral:tRNA from 1 species
GGAGGAAUGGCAGAGCGGUCGAAUGCGGCGGUCUUGAAAACCGUUUUCCGCCUAUCGGUGGAACGGGGGUUCGAAUCCCUCUUCCUCCG